rnacentral:rRNA from 1 species
GACGUAGGGCGCGAGCGUUGUCCGGAUUUAUUGGGCGUAAAGGGCUCGUAGGCGGUCUGUCACGUCGGGAGUGAAAACUCGGGGCUUAACCCCGAGCCUGCUUCCGAUACGGGCAGACUAGAGGUAUGCAGGGGAGAAUGGAAUUCCUGGUGUAGCGGUGAAAUGCGCAGAUAUCAGGAGGAACACCGGUGGCGAAGGCGGUUCUCUGGGCAUUACCUGACGCUGAGGAGCGAAAGUGUGGGGAGCGAACAGG